GUGUGUAGUUGUAAUGGGAGAAUGCAAUGCUGUGUGUGUAGUUGUAAUGGGAGAAUGCAAUGCUGUGUGUGUGUGUAGUUGUAAUGGGAGAAUGCAAUGGUGUGUGUGUAGUUGUAAUGAUAUCAGAGGUUAUUUAUAUUUAGAAGGUGUUUUGAUUCCAUUCACUCCGUUCCAGCCGUCAUUAUGAGCCGUCCUCCCCUCAGCAGCCUCCACUGGUGUGUGUGUCUCCCCUGUCUCUCUGACACUCUUAUCUGGCACCCCUCUCUGACACCCUUAUCUGACACCCUCUCUGUCACCCUCUCUGACACCCUUAUCUGACACCCUCUCUGACACCCCCUGGCUGUAGGAUGCACACCUCCAGCACCACGUGUAGUCUGGGUUCUUCUGACGAGAACACCGUGAGCCAGGCAGACGAUGGGUUAAAGACGGUCCACCUGGAGUUAACGGAGACCUGUCUGGACAUGAUGGCUCGAUACGUCUUCUCCAACUUCUCAGCGCUGCCCAAGAGGUCUCCUAUAGCAGAGUUCCUUCUUGCGGGGGGUCGCAGUAUGACCUGGCUGGUGGGUAACAAGCUGAUCACCAUAACGACCAGCGGUGGGGUCAGGAGCCAGGCCCUACUGGGGAUGGACAUGGCUGAGAGGCUGGGAGGAGGGGGAGAGAUGACCAGGUCAGACCCCUCCCUUCACACCCGUCAGACCAAAGAGGCUCCCGGCCAAACUGGAGUCCCAGUCCAGUCAACAGCUCAACAGAGCCUCACGCAUCAGAGUACGAUCCAUGUCAGGUAGGAAGAGGAGGAACUCUCUCUCUCUCUCACUCUCUAUCCUUCUCUCUCUCUACUGUCAUCAGAGUACGAUCCAUGUCAGGUGGCCAUGCCCUCCGUGCAGGUCCAGCCCAGAGCCUCAGCCCCCUGGUCUCACCCUCUGAGGGGAGAGCUGUGUG